UCAAACUUGGUCAUUUAGAGGAAGUAAAAGUCGUAACAAGGUUUCCGUAGGUGAACCUGCGGAAGGAUCAUUACUGAAGAAAUGGUAGUGCUGAGCUGGCUCUCAGGAGUUCUGUGCUCGCUCUAUCGCUUUUUCUACUCUCCACUGUGCACCUAUUGUAGGCUAUAAUAACUCUCAAAUUUGUAUCCCUUACAAAGGGGUCUAUUUGGAUAGAAGGCCAUGCAAAUUCUAUUUGCUUGCUUUCGACUUUGUAGCCUAUGCCUAUAUCAAACUCCUUAUAGUCUCAUGAAUGUCUAUUGUUGGUCUUUUGACCGAUAAACUAUAUACAACUUUCAGCAACGGAUCUCUUGGCUCUCGCAUCGAUGAAGAACGCAGC
rnacentral:misc_RNA from 1 species